UGUCAUCCCAUCUAUCCUCCACAACCUUGCAGUGCACACCUUUCCCUGCCUUUCUGCCAUCAACAAGCAGCAAAAGGAGGAAUCAUCAUUUUGCAGCUAGAAGCAAGUGUCACAGAAAACAUUUCAUCAUUCAUGCUUUGAGAGUCACGGAAUAGCAGUAAUUACACCAGCACUAGCUGUGCUACUGACUUAAAGAUUGAGAGCUGAGCAGCAUUUAAAGAAGAUUUUUUAAAUGUCAUAUGGGAAACAUCUGAAGACUAGAGACAGAAUUGCUUAUGUGACUAUCUGAAAUCCAACUGUGCAAAAUGAAAGGGCAUCCACCUGGUGGCAGGUCAGUAUUUCUGUUAUUAGCAUAAUCUCAGCUGCUAUUCAGAGGCAGAAUCACUGUUGUUUCUGAUGCGAUGCAACUUUCAAAAGGACAAAUAGGAUCCUAGAACACAGCAAGUGAGGACAUAUACAAAAAAAAUUCUUUAAUAAAUGACUUGUGGAACUUAA